rfam:Anopheles arabiensis strain DONG5_A unplaced genomic scaffold supercont1.29, whole genome shotgun sequence.
GGCAAUGCUGUAGCUGGCAGUGGUUGGCAGAUUCGAAACCUCUAGAAGGUUAACAUAGGCUCUCCAUCACCGACUCCUACUCAAUACGUUCUGCUGGAUUCGUGGUCACACAGGUAUUCAGGGAAACAAAAUAACAUCGGAGAGGG